AGCGAACGCUGGCGGCAGGCCUAACACAUGCAAGUCGAACGAACUCUUCGGAGUUAGUGGCGGACGGGUGCGUACCACGUGGGAACGUGCCUUUUGGUUCGGAAUAACUCAGGGAAACUUGUGCUAAUACCGAAUGUGCCCUUCGGGGGAAAGAUUUAUCGCCAUUAGAGCGGCCCGCGUCUGAUUAGCUAGUUGGUGAGGUAACGGCUCACCAAGGCGACGAUCAGUAGCUGGUCUGAGAGGAUGACCAGCCACACUGGGACUGAGACACGGCCCAGACUCCUACGGGAGGCAGCAGUGGGGAAUCUUGCGCAAUGGGCGAAAGCCUGACGCAGCCAUGCCGCGUGAAUGAUGAAGGUCUUAGGAUUGUAAAAUUCUUUCACCGGGGACGAUAAUGACGGUACCCGGAGAAGAAGCCCCGGCUAACUUCGUG
rnacentral:rRNA from 1 species